rnacentral:rRNA from 1 species
UACGUAGGGUGCAAGCGUUAAUCGGAAUACUGGGCGUAAAGCGUGCGCAGGCGGUGAUGUAAGACAGAUGUGAAAUCCCCGGGCUCAACCUGGGAACUGCAUUUGUGACUGCAUCGCUGGAGUGCGGCAGAGGGGGAUGGAAUUCCGCGUGUAGCAGUGAAAUGCGUAGAGAUGUGGAGGAACACCGAUGGCGAAGGCAGCCCCCUGGGCUAACACUGACGCUCAUGCACGAAAGCGUGGGGAGCAAACAGG